rnacentral:piRNA from 1 species
UAUAGUAAGCUUUAAUGCACAGAUGUUC